AGGAGUGUAGCUCAGCUGGUAGAGCAUCGGUCUCCAAAACCGAGGGCCGGGGGUUCGAGUCCCUCCACUCCUGCCA
rnacentral:tRNA from 58 species